rnacentral:tRNA from 6 species
GCCCGAGUAGCUUAGUGGCAAAGCGACGGUUUUGUAAACCGCUGACGGGUGUCCGAUUCACCCCUCGGGCUCCC